CACAGUGACCAGGCGCACUGUAAUGAUUUUAGUCUCCGAUCACACAUUCACGCCGCCCCCCCUUCCUACAGAGAUCCUAUCUGCAUUAAGCCCGCUCUGCCAGCCUCCAGCUCCGGCAUCAGCUCCAGCUCCAGCAGCAGCAGCAGAGGGGGAGAGCUGAGGCACAGGAGCCCCAAACCUGCCGAAACUCCUCAUCACACUGGACCCAGGCGAUAGACCGAGCCUCGCUGCAGGUAUUUUAACACCGCUUGAGUGUGUUUGUACUGUCUUUACCUGCUCCAUACUUACAAACCAAAACACAGUUAUCUUAUUUACAUCAUUCAUACUUUGUACGAGUGUAUGUGCUAAUUCUACGACUGCAUGUACUCCAUUCACAUUUUGAGGACUAAAAACUCCUUUAUGGUUUUUAUUUACAUCUGUGUUUUCAACUUGAUUUAUGACACUUUGAUAAAAUCAUAUUCUCACUUUCAUUGGCAUACACACACACACACAAACACGCUCGCACACACACAAAAAGGCCAGCCCACCGCCACACCGGCAGUCCAUUGACUUUCAUUGGAAGUGACUUCCCUGCUGCUCUAAAUCACAAUGAUUUCCCAGGGAAUUAGAGCAGGCUUUUCCCAAGAGACACACACACACACUCACACACACACACACACACACACACACUCACACGAGAACAUUAACCAGUUACUGUGAGGGUUUUUCAGAGUGUGUGUGUGUGUUUCUACUACAGUGUUGUCCUUCCAGAGCAAAUACAAAUACAAUGAGGAUAGGGAAUAAAAGAAAAUGUUGUUUUUAGUCGUCUUUGUCUAUUUAUGUUUCAGUUAAAGUCGUUGAAAGGUUUCAGACGCUCAAAGGAGCAGCUGAUGUUUCCCAACUGUUCGCUGUGCCUCAUAGGUGUGUUUGUGAGUGUGUUUGCACGUGUGUUGGAAUCUCACACCUUUCAGAGCUCUGCUGGACACGAGUCAACGGCAAUCAGUCUUGUCCAGAUUCUCCUUGUCUCUCCCUUCUUCAGCUCUUCACCCUCUUCUUCUUCUUCUUCUCUUUUAACUGCACACUUUUUGACUAAUAAAAAAAUAUAUUUGUUUAAUAAAACCAUCUACCUGAUUUAAAAAAAGCAUACUCCAUCCAUGAGAGUGAUUUUAAAGCUUUUUGUUCAUCGCUGAAACAUAAAGCGUUACAACCUGACAGGCUUCCUUCUCCGUCAAAGAAGAAGCCGCAGAUUUCUGCUGACCUCGUCCACCACAGCCCCUAACUGUGAUGAAUCCGUACCUUCAUGGUCACAACCAGUCAAUGGUCUGUAUGAUGGAUACCUAUGGCCAAGGCCGCAGCGAGUCGAUGAAAGUGACCCAUGUGUACAUCCCUGCUUCCGGGAUGUGAAACCCAAUUCCGGGUGGGAUUGAUCCAUGUCUGGCCACUGCGGGGAUAAGGCCAGAGGGAGGAGAUAAGAGCAGACACCGAGCGGUCAAUGAUACCUUUGAACCGCCAACCUCUAAUGCAAACAGGACACUAUAAUGCCCCACACCACACCACCACCAAGAGACUUUUAAAGGUAUACAAAUUAUACUGCGCAAAGACAAGGAAGAAAUCUGAGAGAGGGAAGUAUUUUAGCAGCGAUGUUAUAAAGUAAUGGUAGUAUAUUAAAAUAAAACACAUUUUAAAAGAUUUAAGUGCUAUUAGAUAUUAAAAUAAAGGUUUUCAUAUCUCUGAAAAUCUCCCCUGUAAAUGUUAUCAUCUGGUAUUUAUGUGUUGUAGAUGCUCAGAUAAGAACUAAAAUUAGCCCUGAUGAAGGCUAUAGAGGCUAGGUAGCUGAAACUUGUCAGGUACAAAAUGUUUUUUACCUUUCUGGCCUUCAUAGAUAAACUGUUUUAGAAAUUUAUCACCAACAGGCCAAAUGAUCCUCUUUUGUAUAAAAUCAACUGGUUUAUCUCUGACAGUGCUUUUUACUUGCAGGUAAGACACUGAUAUGUAGAGAAGCAAGUUAGCUAUUCAGGAUGCUGGAGUUCACAGUUUUUCAAUCAUCAAGAGAAAUACCAGUGCCUCAAAUUUCCAUUUUCAGUCAAUGAACUCUUCAUCGUUUCACAACAGAAAUCACAAGGUGAGAUUAACUGAGCACAUCAAGCUUGAAGUUAGUUAGAGCCAAAACAAUGAGGUCCAGUUCACAGAGAAUUAACCGACUUCAAUAUGACAAUCAAUGAUCGAGUAGUUCAGGGACCGAAAAUCGAAAAACAUCUGCUCCAAAAUUGAAGAUAAAGUAAAAAUUUAUCUUUUUUGUUUGUUUGUAAAUUAACGUCCAAAAUAUUUGUUUGCUUCAUUUUACGAAUGACCAUCAAAUCCAAUUAUCUUAAAUAUAUCUUAUACAUUUUCCAGUCACCAGUACACUUCAGAUAUGUGCUGUACUUCAGACCAGUGUAUUAACUCUGUAAAGUACCCCAGUUGUCUUGCCCGAGUGCUGUCGUUGUGCUGUAUCAUCACCACCCUGUGUGCGACGCUCUGGCCUGUUGUCGCCCUAAGAAGUGAAGUAAAUAAUUGAAUGGAUCCAUUAAUAAAUAAAGUGCAGGGGGGUAGGAGCGGUGGAGGAGGAGGAGGGGUGGAGAGGAGAGACGGGAGAGAUGGGAGAGAUGGGUCACUCAUCUUUACAAUCACCAUGAAGGGAGUGGCAUGACUGCAAACACGCCGCCACUUCUCCCUCUCUCUCUGAGGUGUCUGGACAUCAUAAGCAUUAGCUUGUAGUGAACUCUGACUCUGAGCUCCGAGCAGGAUGUGGAAUUUAAACACAUUUCCUCUCUGAUCCGCGGGGACAUGGUUACUUCCUGUAAAACAGGUGGAGGGAGGUAAAACCACUGCCAAAGUCUACCUUCAACCCAUCAAAACAGUUUUACUGGAGGCUUUUGGUCGAUUCCAGUCGGUGGGUGUUGCUUCUACGUAUUACAGCUCUUGCCAGGAUAGCUGGAGUGGAAAAGCGAAAAUGAAGUUGCGGUUUUGAACCUUAUAGAAUUUAAGAGGAUUCAUCAUCAGCUACUAAACGCUGCAGUAUUUCUCCGGGAACGUAUGUUUCCUGUUACAGAAUAUGCCUUUUUUUGGGCGGAUGACUUUAUUCUCACUUGAUCUUUCCCCCUCAAGAACAUCAAUAUUGCAUGAUCAUUUCGUAUUCAUUUCUGCCUGUUUUAUUUUUGUGUUGUUUAAGAAGCAAAUGAGGAUAAUACUCAGAGAUAAAAAUAUAAUUACAGAGUUUAAAGCUCCCCCACGUCACAGCUCUCACAUGCCGACUGACUAUACUUCCCCUGUCUAUACUAAUACCCUUUUUUCUGCUCUCUUUCUCAACCAUUCAAACCCAUUCUCACAUUUGCUCCCUCAUUCCCCCCUCUUGUUUUCUCUUUUCUCCCGGCCCUUCUUUUUUAUUUUACUGCCUGAUCUCUAUUUAGAUUUCCUCGUUUGGAGUUGCCACAACGCUCCCCGCUGCCAACAUCUGUAAGUGGUUUGGAGGCAAGAGACACUAUGGAAAAACAUCAAAAAAUAAAAAAAGGAGCAGAGCUGUGCUCCACUAGCAGCUUUAGACUGAACAGAGGCUGUGAAAAAGGGAUACAAACUGCUCUGGGAUUGGAGGCACACGCAGGCUGUAGGCCGGGUCCUGUUUGACUUGAAAAUACAGAAUAAAAUUGGACAUGGAGGGAGAUACAACAUAAAUACAACACUUGUGUACACUCCACUCAAGCUUAGGUGGGUGGGGGUGGUGUGUUGGACUUCUUAGGACCCCACAGUUUGGGGUUUUACUGCGGAUUGACCUCAAUCACGUGUCAGGUUUUAGGUAGAUUGGACUUAAGCUGCAGCACUUUUAAAGAGAUUAUGUUAUUGUAUGAGAUUAGGGGAAGUAGAUACAUUGAAGGGAGCUAAUGAGGGGUUUCUCCCCUCCCCAGCUGCCAGCCCUAAUUCAGUGCUCACUGUCCUGUUGAUAAUACACACUACAAUAGUAUUACUGUGGCAUUAGAGGCUUUACAGGGAGAGCCACCUUGUUUACAGUGUGGUAGAGGUUCAGAUGUUUGUGUUUUGCUCUUGUGUGAGUGUGCAUGUGGCUGCUUUUUAGGAGGGAGAGCGAGAGAGAAUGGGGAGUUUGUGUGUGUGUGUGUACAGUAGGGUCUCAUUAGGUAAUGAGGAUGAUUACGCUGCAUUAGGUGGUGGAGGAGAAGAGAGGCAGCAGCCACAGGGUGGGGAGAGGGGAGAAGAGAACAUGUGUCUGUGAUUUGCGGCAUAAGCACAUACCAUUUAAUUGACACAAGCUCUCUCCGGCUGCCGAUUGGUGCAGAGCUGUCCUCUGUGCGUCUGCUUGGCCUGCUGUCCUUGACUCGCAGGGCAGAGAGACAGAUGUGGUGUGAAAGAGGGCGGAGAAAAGAGGGGAACGUACAGAAAGAACGGCGAGGUCCUGAGCUGAAAGUGCAGAGGGAGGUAGAGAGUGGAAAAUUGGACGCGUGGAGAAGUGUUUAGUAGGUCAGACAGUCGUCGGUUUUGAUGGAAAGGUUUUCGUCUGGGAGUCCCCAUGGCAGAUAAGUUAGGUAACGCUGUCCUAGAGGAGUAAUGGAGAAACAGCGAGGGCAUCACCUAGCACACUGGAGCAGUUGGCUGGAUGUGUGAAGACAGGUUUCCCUUUGCAUGAAGCUGCCCUCUCUUUUUCCCCUUCUAUAAGUAGGCAGGUAUUUUUACCCAGCAUAAAGUGCUGACCCAGUCUCAGGUAAUUACACCCCUGUUGGGCUUUGGCACAGACAUGUCAGGGUGGUGCUGAGUGCACCUUACACCCUAGCUAUGGGUAAACCACACUUAUCUCGCUAUUUACAAGUGAAUAUAGAGCCCCGCGCCACAUGAGAUACAGGAAGGGGGGCAUACCUUGGCAACGGGAAGAAACCUUUCUCCUGGCAGGGGCCCACUGACAUCCCAUCCUCGAUCAAAGAACACAAAAAAGGACACAAAAGAAAUGAAACUGUACUCUGUGUUUAUGCAGAGGGUGUAAUUAAAGAGUGGAAAACAGCGGCAUAAAUACUGAACCGAGGGAUUCUGGCUCGUGUGUGGUACAUUUCCUGGCAGGAAUUCAAUCCAAUAAUCCCUAAGAGGGUUAGGCAUGUUCUAAUCACUUCUAACAUAAUAAUGUUGAAUGAUCAUGAAUGAUGCAUAUCUUUCUUGAGAACUGUUUUCAAAAGAAACAAUGGGGCUAUUUACAAGUCAGGAUGUGUUGAUGCUUCAAAAUGAUUUUAAGAUGCACUGCACUGACUUUCUUGUUUUUGUACACAGGUUUGAAUGACUUAAUAAUAUAAUACUGGUGUAAAAUCUGUCCAAACAUUCAGUUCAUAAAGGUGUUAAAAGCCUGAAUCAAAGACUAACACAACCUGAAGGAGUUUAGGCUGAGUUAUGUUUUAUUUUCAGGCUCACUGCGAAGACUUCAAACUCACACCAAGCGCCAGUACAAUAAUUUUCGCGACUGAAUUAUAUGUUAUUUUAUGUAAAGAUGCAAUUAGACUCUCCUACUACUCUGACAGCAUGAAUCACGUGAGUUAUUGGCGCGAAUUGAGCGGACGUGAAUUCGUGAGAGUUGAAAAUAUCUCAACUUGAGCGGACAUUUGCGUCGCGAUAACCAAUCAGCACAAAGGUUCCUGAGUGACGUAUAAAAACGGAUGGUUGUUCACUGGUAUCUAAAAUGGAGGACAAACUGAUGUUGUGGCUAUGUGGGUGGGUCUUCUGAAUUAUAUGAAACUUAUUCUUUUAAUUACCGAAACCGGAAUAAAAAGAAGCUGGUCUGGAGGAAAGUGAGUUUGUGUAUCACUUGAUUCACUUAAUGAAUUGGCAGGGAUGACCGCUAAAUUUAGCAUAAACGGCUACUCGCUUAAUUCGCGUUAAAGUAAAUACUUGUCAUUCACGCGUCUACAUUCGCGCAAAUUAAGCGAGUAGAUGAUUUCACUCGCGCUUGGUGUGAAUGCCCCAUAAGCGUACAAGGAAGUCAGAGGCUCCAAACUCGCUUGCCUCAGAACACAAUGUCAUAGAUAAUCAGGACUUCAGCAAAAUACCUGUCAGGAAAAACUUCACUUUUAUGACACUUUGGAGUCCAACUUUUAUCUUUGUUUUGUCUCACAAAAUGUGAACCCUCUUUUUUUUUUUCUUAAAAGACAUUUCUGACAUCACACUUUGGCUUCAGGCUGGAAAAGGUUGCCUUGCUCUGACUCUCAGCUGGGCCCUGGUCUUCAUUAGGGCCACUUCUGGAGCAGCCAACGCCAGUGUCUGAGCUGUCCCACUAGCUUAAAUAAUAUGGACGGUUCAUAUUAAGAUCACUUUGAAUCUUUCUGUGUUGUACAAUGAUUACUCUUUGUGUAAAGGCUGGACCCAAAACCAUAACUUUAAAAACAUUACCCACCACCACAAGGCAAAGUCAUUACGCUGGUGUUUCAUUUAUCAUAACCAUACUCUGUGUUUAACAUUGUUGUCAGCCUCAGUUCCAUGUAUAGUCUCCUCAAACAUGCCUUGAAGAGGAGAGACUUCAGUAAAGCCACGGAACAUGUGUUUUUCUGACUUUGUCCAGGAAAUCUUCUGACGCAGUUGUCUUUACAAGAGACUUUCUCCAGUAUCUAUAUAUCUUCUCUCCCAUUAAAUUCAUCUUCUAUGGAAACUAUGCGCAGUGUGUUGCUAGGGAAAUGGCUGUGGUCAGACCAUAGUCCUUGAAAGAGAGAAGCAGAGGAAAGAAACAGGAAGACGGAAGCGGGACAGAGGGAAAAAAAACAGAAAAGUAAGUAAGACUUGUUCUAGAUUUGAAUAAUUCACCUUUGUAUGCAUGCACGUAUGUGUCUGUGCAUGAACAUACAUGAAGACACACAUGCAAAAACAUGCAUGAAGAGUGCUCCAGCUGAGGAACUGUGUGCAAUAAUUUGCUGGUGGGAAUGUGCCACUGCACGUUAAUUCUCCCUUCACGCUUGCGUUGAGGAACACAGAGCCUCUAAUUGAUGCUAAACAAACUGCUGACCCAGACUCAGGAUGAAGGUCUGUCACUGAUGCACACACACAAACACACACCGCUACACAAACUACAAAACGCACUAUUCACAAAAAAAGAGAAUAUUCACAACUCUAGCUGAACAAAUUGAAUGUUUCCUUAACUGUCAGACACUUUUUGUGAGCUCUCUAAGAGGCUUAAAGGUGCAGGGCAGCACAGGCACCAGCAUGAGGCACCUAGGUGGGCAAUCUGCAGUGCCCUUGGCUUUCUAGAGGUACAUUUGGAGUGUUUGGUCUGUGUGUGUGGGAGUGUGCGUGUGUGUGUAUGCACGCCUGUGUUAGGAGAACUUACUGCAGGGUAGGGGGGGAGCUGAAAAGGUAAACUACUACUCAUCCUUGUCUCGCACAAACACAAGCAUACACACACUCACACACCGGCCCCUAAAGGAAGCUCCAGGGAGGCACAACGGCGCCUUUGUGCGGGCCAGAUUUCCCAUGUCUCCUUGCUCCAGCACACAGAUAGAUCAUCUCAGUGUAGCCUGCUGCAUGAAGGGCAAGUGCAUGCACGCCGUGCAGCAGGAGGAAAAGAGGGAGGGAGAAGGAAGGUGGGAAAGAAAUUAUAAGCCAAACCACUUCUUCUUUACUUUCUUUUUUCACACUUUCCCUUCGUCUUGCAUGUCUUUCUCUCGUUCCCCCUUCAUCCCCUCUUCUCUUUCUCUCUCUCUCUCUCUCUCCUUCUCUCACACACUCUCUCCGCAGAGGAAUCCAGCCUCUCUCCAUUGGGAUUGGAGCUCUUUGAAGGUGAUCCAGAACUGUACUGCGUGCUGCCUGUGCUCUCCUCCCCCUCCUACCCUCCACCCUCCGCUCACCCCUCAGCCCUCAGGGGGCCUGGAUCCUGCUCAACAGAGAGCAGCCGUGCUCCAAAUCCAGCGCCAGGCUUAGUGUUCCUGCCGCAGGCCUCGCUUGCUGUCCCUCUGCACCACACAGAGGUGGGAGGCCCUGGGAGGAGAAAUGACAGAGAGGUGGGGGGGUAAGAGGUGUGUUUGGUCACAUUUAGUGGGGACACAAAGAUCCAGAAAAGUGAUGCUGCUCUUCAUUAUCUCCUUCACAUGACAAACUCUUUUCCCUUUCAUUUCAUUUCACACAUUGCCUCCUUUUAUCCAUCUUAUUCCCCCUCUUAUUCCCCCUCAAUCCCAAGCUCUCCUAACACUCGUCAGACUGGUUUCUUUGGCACACCUUGAGCACACAAACACAGACUAGGGUGCCAACAUUCGCUCAGACACAUGCCUCUUUACUUUAUUAGAGGGCCCUCUACUCAGUGCCUCAGAGAAUGACAAACAGACAGACGAUAGACGGGGUAAAAGAGGCAGAGAAAGAGAGAGAGAGUGAAUCUGGGAGAUGUGCAUUCCUUCGGUUCGCCUGGCUCAGGAGCACAGGAGACGUGUUGCUGGCUGUUCGGUUUAUUAUCCCCAAGCCAUAUGGGUUGGCAGGCUUUCGGGGUGUGGUAGGAUACACUUGUGUGUCUGUGUGUGUCGGGGUAAGUCAGAGAGGGAGAUUAUACGUACAUUAGCUCUUUUAUCACCUACACAAAAUGUUUCUGUGUGUGUUCCAGGCCACAAUAACCUGUGGAACCACACUGUCAGAUUACUGCUUUCUAUAAAACAUAAAAUGCUUCCACUCGCUCUUACCCUUCCCAAACAAUCCCACAUAUUCACACACAAGCUCAUUUACACAAGACGGUUAUUUAAACUGGCUGUAAUGUGAAUGCAAAGUCAAUUGUUUGAAACUUAAUUGUUCUCACAUGAUGUAAUGGUGCCAUGUGGGUGUGUUUUGAAAACUCAUGUCAUAGUUGUGGUUAUAGUUGAUAUCAGUUAUAAUUAAUACUGUACUUAUUUAAGUAACUUUUGGUAGAUGGAAACAGAAAUAUCACUGGAGUCCAGUGGGCUUUAGUAUCUUUAGAGUUGGGGAAUAGAUUGCAACUGAUUGGAUUUACUUGAUGUCCAAGGCUGGGUGUAAGUUGCACAAAGUCAAUUUUGAGAGUUUUUUGGGUCACCUUUUACGCGCUUCUAAAUAAGUCCACGUGACACAAACUCGAAACUUGCGUACAAAACCUCAGACAUUUGAAGGGUUUUAUGAACUUCCCCGGACAAAGCCGUACAAACCCAGACAGACCCCCAAAAAGAGGACGUGUCUGAGUAAAAGAGGACAUGUCUGAGUAAAAGAGGACGUAUGGUCACCCUACACAAUAUCAUCAUUUUUAGUUCUCUGCUCUUUAAAACAACACUUUUUGAGGGUCUUUUGACAACAAAUGUAGAAAAUUUGACAUCUAUAAUACACUGUCAUUCCAAUUCAAGUACUCUACACCAUCCUUGCAUAAGUAGAUAACAGCAAUUACAGUGAGAGACAAAUAAUCCUGGAUAAUUUUGUCUUUUAAAACAAGAGAAAAUGUUAAUUAGCAUAAAGGAUCAAAUGCAAACUUUGAUAUAAAAAAAAUAGAAAGAAAUGUUAAAUAGAUGAAACUAUCCUCUGUUUCCCCCUUUCAAUAUCCAAACACUUUAUUUCAAUCAGAACUGCCUGCAGUCAAAAAAAGACUACUGUGGUUAACUUGAGGCUCUUACAGGAUUUGUUUCAAGCAAGGUAAAACUUCUAGUCUACUGCAUGCAACAUAAAUUUGCUCUACAUGAAUAAAAAUAUGUGACUUGAAGCAUUUAGGUCAGAUUAAAUUACAUCCAUAAUCUAUCCCGACCUAAAUAAAGUAAUUUUGUUUUGCCCGCUACACCUCCAUCCCCUCCCUUUGUGGUUUUCUCUAUAAAACAAAAACAAAAAAUGCUUACAUGCAAAAGUAACAGGCAGCAAAUUUGAUUUCCAUCAAAACUUUAAUGAGGAAAGAGUUUGGCAAAAUAUAAAUGCAGUUCCUGGGAGAGACAAUAUGGUUCAAAGAUCUGGGCAAUUAACAUUGUUAUUAUUCCCGUUAGGAAUGGUUGCUAAAGCUAUAGGAAUAAGACUCAAGUUGUCAUAAUUCAACCAUUCUUUGAAUUUACGAGCCAAUCAGCACACCUAUAAGCAGAUUUCUGUAUGGUCUGCACUCCUCAGAUAUACUCUCUGUCCACGGAAAUUCUUCUGACUCUGUUACUUUCAUCUUAAUCACCUCUCUCUGGUUUCUCCCUGUUCUGCCCCUUCAACGUCACAGGGGUCAGCGGCACUGUGCAUACUCUGUGUGUGACUGCUGCUGAAGGUGUGUGUUCCUUUGUGAGUGUCUGUGUGUGUGGGGAAGGAGCAAGCUAUCUAUAGCCUGUGUAUCCCUGGGGAUUUGAGUCUUAAACUCCAUAUUCAUGACACAUCACUGUGGGGAUUAGAAGGGCAUCAUCAGAUAGAGGGGCUUACGUCAGCGGGCACACAGACACACACACACACACACACACACACACACACACACACACACGCAACCUCACACUCAGACAAUAUCAUACACAGACACACUCUCAGCUGCAGUCUCACUCUGGAAAGCACAGAAUUUACACUUUCCAGGAAGAUUUUUAUUUAUUUGACGAACAGUCAUGUGCAAAGUUUUACUACUCAAGGACUCUGCUUUUUUGUGUGUAGCACUUUAUAGAUCAAUAGUUAGCAUCCAAGACAAACACGUUAUUAAAGACACCUCUUGUCUUCUCUUAUGCCAUCACUUCCAGUGGAUUUCUGUUCUUAGAUGUUAAAUGAAACGUGUAAAAUAUGAAUGGAACAAUAUUAAAGAGCCAUGAAAUACUCUACUCCCACUGUGCAUUUAAAUUGCAAACCUUUCCAUAAGCCUGAAAGAGUGCAGCUUUUACUUAUUAAAGUGCUCUACUCCUAAUUUCAGUUCUAUGCUCGGAUAAAACAGUUGAAAACAGACAGAGGGAAUAACUAUUUCAAAGUACACUGACUUCGAGAUCAGGACUGACACACACACACACACACACACACACACACACACACACACGCACCAAUGAUAAAGGCGAUGGUUGGUUUGUGGAAAGUUGGGAACAGCCCCAAAGUCAACAGUCUCAAAACACAACAUUAAGUAGGGCUGGGCGAUAAACCGAAAAUUUACCUACACUGAAAUUUACAACAAUAACCAACGUCAUUUUGCACGUGUCGGUAUAUUCAGUGUAAAGUAAAUAAAUUAAAGUUGGUUUUGGAUGUGCGUAGGUAGGCUUUGGUCUCAUGUACCUUUAAUACAGUGUCCUACGUCAGAGGCGUGACUCCACCCCAUUUAGUCCAUAACAAGAGUCCUUAAGAGUGGCAAAAUAAUUGCAAUAAAUGGGUCCAGGGAAGUCAUAAUAUCAAUUUAACGGCCACAGCCCCAUCUAUUGGCUUAACUUUUUUUGCAUAGGGGGCGCGGUGUAGUAGUUAUCGUCCAUUCAUCGUUAAGGAGGUGUAACUCUCAAUAUAUUGUGAUAUUGAUUUGAGGCCAUAUCGCCCCACCCUAACGUUAAGGUACAGCUAACUGGUCAGGUGACCAUUUUCACCUUAAAAAUCUGAUUUUAAAAAUCUAAAACAACAUCAAUGACUCAUUAUUAUCAGGAUUUGUUAAAUACUUGGCUCUGAUUGGUUAAAACCCCAUGAAAACAGUAAUUAAGUUUCAACUUUAUAACAAGGACAAGCCAGUCUAGCAUGUCAGAUCACAUCUGCUGAAAUAAUUCUGACGUGUUCUACUUCUGCCUGUUAACACUGCGGCAAAAAUAUUAGUUUCUAACACAAUGGGUAAAAGCACAGGAGAAAAACAACAUUACAGAUUGUGACAUUUGCUUCUUAUAUGUUAAAAGGUGUGACUGCUGGAUGAAGACAGGCAUGGUGGUGGUGCGGUUUACCUUGUCUGUGAUUUUAACAAAAAAGGAGGCAAAUCUUUUAACCUACAUGUAGAUUGAAAUCUCAAGUUCAAUGUUGAUUCGUCCCACAAUUAGGCUGAUAAGAAACCAUUACCACAGAAGCCCCAGACCACAUAAGAGAGAUUUUUCUUUAGAUUCGGAUGAGCAGAUAAAUCAUUUUUAAGACAAGAGAAUCAUCCUUAAAAUCAGUGUAAAGUGAGCAAGUGGUUAUGGGAUUAGAAGUCCUUCAAGGUGAGACAACACCUUCUGCUCACUUUGUCAGGAUUGUCAUUUGCUCUUUAUGAUAACAAAGAGCAGCCAGUUUGACUUAGACAUACAUUUGCAAAGCCAUUUAACAACACACUCUGUAAAGUUUUACACUUCAGUGUCUAUUUAACAGGGUUAAUAUUUCGAAUUACACUAAGUUUGAUGGUUAACGAUGCAGAAAAGGUCAGGUAUUUUAGGAGAAUUUGAGAAGAUGUUGAAAUAAUCUAAGCAGAACACACAGGGAAUCAUUGGUGUUGUUUUAAAUGCAGUGAUAUUGAGACUUCCUGACUGAUUGAAAGCUGACAAAAAGAAGAUACCUGAAGCAUUUGUUUUGGCAGAGCAGCUAGAAUCACUGCCCUGAAUCACUAAAUACAAAAGUUCAGUGUUAAUUCGACUGUAAUCUGAUUAUUUCAAACUAAUAAUUUCUGGUAUUCAGGCUAAAACUGCCAAUUUAAACACUUUGAGUUGGAUCUCAGGGUGAAAAUUGUUGAGAUGAGCACAAAAAUGUGUUAGGUGAAGGACUCGGUUGUCUAAGGCCAAACCAUGUGGAAGCUGAUCUGCAGGGGAGGUCGAGAAGGAGGGGGUGUUAGCACAGGCGGCAUGGAUCUGUGUACUGAUUGUUUGUCCAUUAUUGUGUGUUGUAGAGAGAGUGUGUGUUUGUUCUUAUCUCCUCUGGCCCACAGCAGCAGGAGCAUCAGAGGAAGUGUGGCCUUUCCUUCCUGUGCCUUUCACACUGUCACAAUGUACAGGAGCCAUGAAACACCAUCCAACCUACAGCGAAAGAGGGAAGAGAGGAGGGGGUGGUCUGCUUGUAAAUGCAGAGCAUGUGUGUAUGUUUCAUGCUGUGCAGCAUUUCCAAUCAAUAGAACUUCCCUUUUCUGUGUGGUGCAGAGUUGUUCUCUACCGGGGGUGAAAUGAGGUGAAGUUUGGGACAAGACAGAGGAACAGCUGAGGUGACGGAGGAUGAGAUUCAGCCCAUGAAGCAGUAGCAGAGGGGACUGGGACAGUAGAGGAAUGGGCUGGUGUCCUCCACGUGGGAGCUGAUGAAGGACAUACAUUCUGCACCUGGCGCUGGGCUCUGGCAGGGAGCCACUACCCCCCUCCCCUGUUUCAGCCUGUGCUAUCCAUCUUAUCUCCACAGCACCUAAGUUCUCCCUCAGUCCUCCCUCACUGACAGAAAUAUUAUCAGUUACAGGAUGGUUUUAACACUCAAGACCCACUUACGAAUGUAGUUGCAUAAAAAUAUAAGAGCAUGUGUGUAUAACCAAAAAACGAUGGUAAAAUUCGAACAAAUAUGUUUGCAUUUAUAUUUGUUGUUAUGUACUUUUCUUUAACGCAGAUUAUCAAGAUCUGAUGCGACAAGACUGGAGAUGCCUUUUAUUUACAAGGUGACAGGGCUAGCUUAAGUUUUUGAUCUGUUGCACCCCCUUAAUCCUCAAGCUCAGUUCAACUGUUAGCAUUUUUUACAGAUAUUGCUGAGAAAUAUAUGUCACUUUUUGAAAUGAAGAGCUGUAUCAACUCUUUACCUAACCUCCAAAAAGCCGCUCCAGUUUUUCUUCAAUGAUGCUUUAAAAUCUAGGAAAUGUAAGAUCUGUUUUUUUAAGGAUCACUCUAAUAAAAAAGUGAUUGUAAUUGUCUUCCCAUUUGCAGCAACCGAAGCAAAGUCACUGCACUGGUAGGGUGCCAGUGUUACCACAGAUUGCCUUUACCAUGAAUCUGCAUAGACAACCUCCAGCUGCAGAUUCUGCCUGUUUGGGUUUCAGUGGUAAAAAGUCAAAUAAACAAAAUUAAUGUUUAAAAACUUGUUAGGAGCACAUGUCAAACUCCAUUCCAAUCAUCUGGCACUUGUCUGUUCUGGAUCAGUGUAACCUCGUGUUCAAACAAGGUUUUCUCUGCGUAUAAGCUGCAAACUAUGACACUUCUGGCAGAGUUUUGUAGCAAUGUGCGGCACAGUCCUACAAAAGGAACAAAUCAACACUGAGGACAUUGUUACAUGAAUGGCCAAUGAAAUUUCUACUGAAUAUCUACAAGGAUUAUUUUUAGGCUUUUCAUAUAAAGAGGGGUCAAGCUCUCAGAUACUUGUGUGAUAAAUGUCCUAAAAUAGGGCUGGGUGAUAUGGCUUCACAUCAAUAUCACAAUAUAUUGAGUAGUUCACCUCGAUAAUGAUAAAUGGACGAUAACUACUCCACAAGCUGCUCACCCCCUCCCACAUCAACCUUGUCUACUUCAGCUGCUACAACUUUUGAACCGUCCUCCAUCUCCUC
rnacentral:lncRNA from 1 species